GGGACAGUAGGCCGGGCAGGGAUGUGAGGAUGAUGGAUUUCCAAGGAUGUGCUGCUUGUCCCUGCACCAGAGGCAGGUGUUUGUGCAGGAUGAGCACUGGCACAGGGUGAGCUGUCCCAGCCUGCGCCCUCCCGACGGGGUGGAGGAGGAAAGUCCCCGUGGAUGGAGGCAAGCGAUCGCCUGAAUAUUCAUGUAUCGGCAGGCAAGCUACAGCAGGCCCUCGUUACAAACUGCUACCCAAACUGCCUACAUCCAUAAACAAGGGAAAUAAAUAAACAGAUGCUUGUUAAUUGACUUAAUUACCCACCAGCAAACAGGAGACCGGGAGCACAUCAAUAAAAGUGUUUUAAAAAGCAACUCGUAGUAAUUCUUUUCCAUAUGCAAACCACGCCGGUCUCUUCUGUCUACAACAGACUCCCCAAAGACGAGAAAUGGAUUUUCAUUAUGUGGGAAGGAGAGAUCAAAGUCUGAAAAUUAGGGUUGUAGCCCAAAAUGAAGCCCAGGAGUUAUUGCAAAUAAUCUUCCUUGAUCAAGAGAAGUCCCGCAGCUGAAGUAACCCUCCAGCAAGGACCAAAAGAUGCUCAAGCGAAAGGGAAAUGUGGAAGGAUCUGUCUCCCAUUGUAAUGCAGCCAUGUCCAACCUGAGUAUAGGGAUAACUCCUAUGCACUCCUGAUGGGGCUGAUGCCCACCAUGAAUCCUCUGGAGUGCAUAAACAUGAAGUAUCUCCCAAGCUGGAGGCUUGUGGCCAGACUCUUGAUCUUAUUCCUGGGGUGGAUGCAUGG